AGCUAUCAAGCGAUAGUAACUUUAUUGUUACUGUUUAGCUUGGAUUUGGGGCUUUGCUGUGUUACAACGGCUGUCCUUAAACGCAUUAGCCGGUUUCUAAUGGGAAGACUUGGUUCUUACUCGGUGUGAUAAUUAUCUUACAUUGAGGACAUUGGGCUUUCACGAGUCUAAUGGCCAGGACUUAUUAUUAGGCUGCUUCUAAUCGUCUCUUCUGACAAUUUUAUUUUCAA
rnacentral:misc_RNA from 1 species